GACGAACGCUGGCGGCGUGCUUAACACAUGCAAGUCGAACGGAAAGGCCCUGCUUUUGUGGGGUGCUCGAGUGGCGAACGGGUGAGUAACACGUGAGUAACCUGCCCUUGACUUUGGGAUAACUUCAGGAAACUGGGGCUAAUACCGGAUAGGAGCUCCUGCUGCAUGGUGGGGGUUGGAAAGUUUCGGCGGUUGGGGAUGGACUCGCGGCUUAUCAGCUUGUUGGUGGGGUAGUGGCUUACCAAGGCUUUGACGGGUAGCCGGCCUGAGAGGGUGACCGGCGACAUUGGGACUGCGAUACGGCCCAGACUCCUACGGGAGGCAGCAGUGGAGAAUAUGGCAGAAUGGGCGGAAGCCUGAUGCAGCAACGCCGCGUGCGGGAUGACGGCCUUCGGGUUGUAAACCGCUUUCGCCUGUGACGAAGCGUGAGUGACGGUAAUGGGUAAAGAAGCACCGGCUAACUACGUG
rnacentral:rRNA from 1 species